UCAGAAGCUGUCUGAGGGGACAUGACUUAUCUGACAGGCUUAGAAACAAAAUAAGCCUUUUUGUCCAGAAGAUCUGAAAUAAAGCUGUGUGGUGACCGCCAUCAGUUUAUUCAAAAGAUUACUCAGGGACUACUCCCCAUUUUUUCAAGACAGAAUUCUGUCAUACCUGAGAAGAAAUGAUCAAGUAAGUUCAGAUAAUAGGAUCCAAAGGAAACAAAAGAUAAGACAUUUAGUAUAACAACGUAAAUGUAGAGAACAAAGACAUUGUCUCAAGUCCCUUUCUUUUGGGGGAACAUCUUCCUGUUAACAACAACAACAACAACAAAAACUAAAAAAGCCCACAUGUGUUUCAAGUUAACCUAUUGUUAUUAUUGGAAUAAUUAUGAACAAGGCUUUAAAAAUUAAAAUCAAGGUCAAACAAAAAGAAAAAUAGUGUUAAUAGGUGGCCAUAUAACCUUCCAAGUUUUUGUUUACUGAUUUCAGUAAUCGUCUGCUUCUCUGUAUUGAUAGUCAUGUUUUAUAAUAAUGAUUAUAUUGGCCAACCUGAUUUUUCUAUUGACAGUAUAUCUGAAAUAUUUCCUGUGUCCUUAAGUAUUUUUCACAGCUUCCCAUUUUACAUGUACGAUGGUCUGCCAUAUCUAGUAAGCUUUGUCAGAUCCAAAAUACUAAAUGCUGCCUUUCUGUCCCCAGUGUCUUUGCUCAGUUCAAAAGCCACAGAAGAAGUUCUGGACGAUGUGGGCCUUCAAUCUUCUAAGAUGGGAAUAGAAAGAAGAGGAUCUACCCAGACCAGGACCCUGCUGCCCAAUCUCAGCUCUGGCUUUCUGGAUCUGUGCUUCUCUGGUAGAGGAACCCUGAGGACUGAUCUACUCUUGCAGUUCUAAAACCAUGGCCCAUGUAAGUUCACGUUUUUCUCCUUGUUGAAAUAUGUGUGUGUUGGCCAGGCACGGUGGCUCAGGCCUGUCAUCCCAACACUUUGGGAGGCCAAGGCGGGUGGAUCACCUGAGGUCAGGAGUUUGACACCAGCCUGGCCAACAUGGUGAAACCCUGUCUCUACUAAAAAUACAAAAACAGCCCAGCAUGAUGGCAGAUGCCUGUAAUCCCAGCUACUCAGGAGGCUGAGGCAGGAGAAUCGUUUGAACCUGGGAGGCAGAGGUUGUAGUGAGCCAAGAUUGUGCCACUACACUCCAGCCUGGACAAGAGCGAAACUUGGUCUCAAAAAAAAAAAAAAGAAAUAUGUGUGUGUUUUUAGGUCAUGAAGGUAUUUUUAUUAAUUUUCCUGAAAUUUCCUACCAGGAGAGGCUCAUCAAAUAACAUGCUUCCAGCUCUUAUUCUUCCAGUUCCCAGCAUCCACCCAAUAUGUCCCAUUAUAAACCUCCUUUGUUCAUGUAAUUACUGAGCAAAUUAUUCAGCAUGUCUUAAGAGCCCUCUAUCAAGGGCAGUGGUGGAGUUAAGUCCUUUUAAGUAAAGAUUUGUGCUUUUUGGGUCAAGUCUAGUUUGGUAAGAUAGAGUCAAUGGUUGUAUUUGACCAUCCAUAACAAAACUUAAAUUAUCACCGACUGGAGAUUUCCAGGAAGUGAAGAUGAAAAUUUGGUAUUGAAUGAUCAAACUCAGUCAUUCAUUGGGUGAAAUCUCAUGCUUUGUGUGGUUCAGUAAAUGACUGGGGACUUGCAAACUUGGAGGUUAUGGAUUUUGGCAAGAAACCCCUCAGGAAUAAAUAUCAGGACUAUUCUGAUGUUGGAUGGAACCUACUAAAUUUAGAUGACAUGUAUAUAAUUCAUUAUUCUUCCUUAGUAUUCUUUAACUCAAUGCAUUUGUUAUCUAUUAUUACAUAACAAAUUAGACCAAAACUUAAUGGCUUAAGACAGCAAACAUUUAUCUCACAGUUUCUUUGGAUCAGAAAUCCAGACAUGGCUUAGCUUGCCUCUCUGGCUCUCGAUCUCUUACAAGGAGAUCCAGGUUUUGGUCAGGACUACAGUCAUCUUAAGGCUUAACUUGGGGUGGAUCUUUUUCUAAGCUCACUCAACUAGUUGUUAACAGGAUCCAGUUUCUCACAGGCUUCAGACUGACAGUCUUAGUUCCUCAUUCGCUGUUGCCUGGAAGCUGCUCUUGGUUUAUUGUCAUGUGGGUCUGUCCAUAGAAUAGCUUAAAACAUGGUGGCUGUGUUUUAAUCAGUGAGCAAAUGAGACAUCAAGAGAGGGAGAGAAAUACAGAAAAAGUGCUGAAGUAACAUUUCAGCACUGUAGCUAUUCUGCUUAUUAAGAGCAAGUCACUUGGUUCAGCCCACGUGCAAGGGAAGGAGAUUACACAAGCAUGUAAUACUAUCGGAUGGGGAUCUUUGGUAACCUAUAUAGCAAGCCAGGUGCUCAGUGAGAGAUGGUAGAGAGCCACAAAAGAGAAUGUCAUUAUAAGUAGCAAGUGAACACAGAAUCCUAGAACUGGGGAAGACCUUAAAAAUGUUGUGUAUCCUAACUGCAUUGUAAACAAGUAAGUCUGAUAUUGCCCUAAGAUAUAAUUCUCAUGUGCCCCCAAAAUACAUGGAUUUGUCAAAACAAGAGAAAAAUGCUUAUGGUGAGAUCUGAUGUAAUGAAGUAUUUAAUGCUUGAGAGAAUUCUUAAUUUUAUGUAAACCCUAUUUUCUAAAAUCAAGGCCAGGUGCUGUAAUCCCUGUAAUUCCAGGUGUUCACACCUGUAAUCUCACCACUUAGGAAGGCUGAUAUGGGAGCAUUGCUUGAGACCAGGAGUUCAAGACCAGCCUGGCCAACACAGCAAGACCCUGUCUCUAUUAAAAAUAAUAAUAAUCAAGACUUUAUACUUCAUUUGGGGAAAAUAUCUGAUUAAAUUUUUUGCUCCUCUUAAAAGCAAAAAUUUUCCCCAGCAACUCAUAUGUAUUUAAAAAUUUAUAUGGCAGAUACCAAUCAGACAUUAUGCUUAUAUUCACUGUUUACUUUCAUAGGCAAACAUUAUUAUUUUAUUUAUUCCCAAAUGGUGCAAGUAUUUUAGAGUAUGCCACAUAGUUUUCUAUAUGCCAGCAGUCUUUUUCAAAAAUACGUAUACAUUCCACUUCAGUCCCCCUCAUACUGUAAAUUUGUAGACAACAUGCUUGUUACAUUGCUCUCUUCCUGCAAUACAGUCCUUAUUUCCCCUCCAUCCAUCUUGAAAGUAUUCCUUUAAUUUCUCCAGUAACACUAUGGGUUUGCCAUUUCGGGCAUCAAUGACAUUCAGGGAUGUGGCCAUAGACUUCUCGCAGCAGGAGUGGGAAUGUCUCGACCAUGUUCAGAAGACCUUGUAUUGGGAUGUGAUGAUGGAGAACUGUAGUAACUUGGUAUGUUUUCUGCCUCAGACAAUUUAGGAUAACUUUGAAUCUGCUCUCUAGGAUGAUUUUUCAUUGUGAUUUUUAGGGCUGUCUUUCAAGAGACUAGUUAAAUUUCUUUUCCCUUUUCCCCAAAGAAGUGGUUUGGGCUUUGUUGGGUAGGAAGUGACAGCUUCACUAGACAUACUCAUCUUCCCUGUCCCUCAGUGAUGUUCAAACUUUUCUCUGGUCAUAGUUACAGUUGUCUUUCUUCUUUUAUAAGGAAGGGCUAGAUUAGGAUUCAGCAGCCUAUAUUAUAUAACCAUUGUAAAAGGAUCCAGGUUUCCUAUUUCUUUAUGCUCCGAAUUACUGUGGAUACUCCAUUAUAGCAUCUGAUCCACUUGCAGAUUACCUUGACAUAGGAUCCUGAAUUGCUCUAAUUAUCAAAAGAACCUUUAUAAUGUAUAUAGCUUUGGAUUAGAUAAAUUGAAUUCAUUUAAAACUGAAGCAAACACAUUCUAUUUCCUAAGCAAAUUUUAACUUAUUCGUGGUUGAAAGUUGUGGUUUAAAGUUGUCAUCUAUAAACAUUACAUUUUAAAUGGAAUGAAUAUCCUAUAAAUAUCUUUUCUUGUAUACUCUUAACAAAACAACAAUAUCAAUAAUAACCUUAGUAGUGAACACUGUGUCUAUUAAAGGUAGUGUUCUAAGCAUUUCACAUAUAUGUCUCAACCAAUUUAAUCCUUAUUAAAUUCGACAAUCUUAUUAUAUCCUCAUUUUCCAGUUGAGAAUAUUAAAGCCCAGUGGAUUUAAAUGACUUGCUGAAGGUCAUGCACAGCUGGGAGGUGGUAAAGGCAGGAAUUGAUACCAGGCUCUAGAGUCUGUAUUUUCAACCAUGGUAUUAUGUGUACUCUCAGGAAAAAAAAAAAAAGAUAUGGGUGUGUAGGUUAUAUUUAAAAUCCUUACCCAACCUAACUGAUUUCUUGUUCUUUAAUUUCCUCAUCCUCUCAAAAACCUUAUUCAGUUUC
rnacentral:lncRNA from 10 species